CAAUUUUAUUUAACUUUUCAAAAAUCCACCUUUUUGUUUCAUUUAUUUUUUUGUAUUUUUGUUGUUGUUUGUUUAGUUGGUUGUUUCAAUUUCAUUUAGUUCUCUUCCGAUCUUGCUUUUGUCUAUUACAGUACAGAAAACCCAACUAACCUU
rnacentral:lncRNA from 1 species